GACAAGUGCAAGAAAGUGGCAUGCAAUGAAACAGAAAAUAAGUACAGAACAAAGAAAUGAAAGACUUGAAUUUUGAAGCCAAUGGGCAUCAAGGCUGAACCACUCUGUCAUCACGUAGAUCCUGGAGAAGGGCUCCAGUUUCCGGUAGCCUCACUCACUCUAUAUCUCCGGACUGAGAGGUUAUUACAUAUUAAGUGCUGCACUGGGGGGAGGUGGUUUCAGUGCCAGCCCUAUGGAUUCUGGGUAGGCACAGCUGUCUCAGACUCCUGGAGCUGCACAGCUGUGGAUUCAACAUGCACCAGCACUUCCAUUGGCAUGAGGUCUUUGUGCCCAUGGGUACUUUAUGACGAGGAGGAGGAGGAGGAAGUAACACAGCGCAAGCCGUCCAACCUCCCCAAGCUGCCAGGCUCGCCAGCUUACUAA
rnacentral:lncRNA from 1 species